AUUGAACGCUGGCGGCAGGCCUAACACAUGCAAGUCGAACGGUAACAGGAAACAGCUUGCUGUUUCGCUGACGAGUGGCGGACGGGUGAGUAAUGUCUGGGAAACUGCCUGAUGGAGGUGGAUAACUACUGGAAACGGUAGCUAAUACCGCAUAACGUCGCAAGACCAAAGAGGGGGACCCUCGGGCCUCUUGCCAUCGAAUGUGCCCAGAUGUGGUUAGCUUGUGGGUGGGGUAACGGCUCACCAAGGCGCCGAUCCCUAGCUGGUCUGAGAGGAUGACAAGCAAAACUGGGAGUGAGACACGGUCAAGAAGCAUACGGGAGGCAGCAGUGGGGAAUAUUGCACAAAGGGGGCAAGAAUGAUGCAGCCAUGCAGCGUGUAUGAAGAAGGCCUUCGGGUUGUAAAGUACGUUCAGCGGGGAGGAAGGGAGUAAAGUUAAUACCUUUGAUCAUUGACGUUACACGCAGAAGAAGCACCGGCUAACUCAGUG
rnacentral:rRNA from 1 species